UACGGGGGGGGCAAGCGUUGUUCGGAAUUACUGGGCGUAAAGGGCUCGUAGGCGGCCAACUAAGUCAGACGUGAAAUCCCUCGGCUUAACCGGGGAACUGCGUCUGAUACUGGAUGGCUAGAGUGUGGGAGAGGGAUGCGGAAUUCCAGGUGUAGCGGUGAAAUGCGUAGAUAUCUGGAGGAACACCGGUGGCGAAGGCGGCAUCCUGGACCGAUAUUGACGCUGAUGCGCGAAAGCCAGGGGAGCAAACGGG
rnacentral:rRNA from 1 species